UACGAAGGGGGCAAGCGUUGUUCGGAAUUACUGGGCGUAAAGGGCGCGUAGGCGGCCGAUCAAGUCAGGCGUGAAAUUCCCGGGCUCAACCUGGGGGCUGCGCUUGAUACUGAUUGGCUUGAAUGCGGGAGAGGAUAGUGGAAUUCCGAGUGUAGAGGUGAAAUUCGUAGAUAUUCGGAAGAACACCAGUGGCGAAGGCGGCUCACUGGACCGGUAUUGACGCUGAGGUGCGAAAGCGUGGGGAGCAAACAGG
rnacentral:rRNA from 1 species